rnacentral:rRNA from 1 species
UCGGGUUCAGAGACUAAGCGNCAGUGAUAAGUUAGCCACCUGGGGAGUACGUUCGCAAGAAUGAAACUCAAAGGAAUUGACCGGGGCCCGCACAAGCGGUGGAUUAUGUGGUUUAAUUCGAUGAUACGCGAGGAACCUUACCAAGGCUUAAAUGGGAAUUGACAGACGCAGAAAUGUGUUUUUCUUCGGACAAUUUUCAAGGUGCUGCAUGGUUGUCGUCAGCUCGUGCCGUGAGGUGUUAGGUUAAGUCCUGCAACGAGCGCAACCCCUGUUACUAGUUGCUACCAUUAAGUUGAGGACUCUAGUAAGACUGCCUACGCAAGUAGAGAGGAAGGUGGGGAUGACGUCAAAUCAUCACGGCCCUUACGCCUUGGGCCACACACGUAAUACAAUGGCCGGUACAGAGGGCAGCUACACAGCGAUGUGAUGCGAAUCUCGAAAGCCGGUCUCAGUUCGGAUUGGAGUCUGCAACUCGACUCUAUGAAGCUGGAAUCGCUAGUAAUCGCGCAUCAGCCAUGGCGCGGUGAAUACGUUCCCGGGCCUUGUACACACCGCCCGUCAAGCCAUGGAAGUCUGGGGUA